CUCUCUCAAAGAUGGAGCAAUGGGAGCACAGAAGAGGAGGACGACAGAAGAUCCUCACAGGGGGAAGGCCAAGAAACGCAAGUGCUAAUCCCAGAGGGAGAAUAAGUUUUGGCAGAUGGAAAUUAAAACUGAAAAAAGGAGGCAAACACUCCCUGAUACUCACUGGUUUAUUAUGAUUUACUACCAACAUGUGUACUGGAGUGAAAGUGAACAUAUAAUCUGAGUUGUAUGGACAUGACAUAUUUAAAGGUGUUUGGUUUUGAUGUUAAUCGUGUGAAUUAAUGUGGUAAUCAGAUCAGAUAUUAGUUUGGCUUUGAGUGAUUUUUGAUUAGAGGUUGUUUUUGGUGUUGUGGUUGCAACUUGGUCAUUUUACUGUAUCUUUGCUCACCUACUGCAUUUAUCAUUACUUAUUUACUGUUCAUCUUUUAAUUUGUUUGCGAAAUGUCACUUAUAUUGUUUGCAUCUUUUAUUAGGGUUCCAAGUCCAAAGGGUUGAAAGACACAUUCAAUUUUCUCUCAUGACUGGAAGUUUGGUGCAAAUCUUGUUCAACAAAUGAGAUCCCAAUAAGCCAAACUGGGGCGCCAUAAUUUAAGUUAAAAAAUUUUGAAGAAAAAUCCCCUAUACCAUAAGUCUGACGUACAUGGAACUUGGCACAGACAUCUAUCUGCCUGACUACAUUUUCAAUAUUUUUUAAACCUAUUUAUGACAUCUCCUCCUAAACUGUAGGUUCAGUUUGUACAACUAACCAAUAAACUUUGAGGGGGUGUGGCUUAGCACAGAAAUAGGCCAAUCAUUAUGACACUUUGAGGAAUGUCAGCGCAUGUACCUGAAACAUACCCUGAAAGUCUCAUUCAAAUCGAGCACUAGAGGGCGCUACAAAUGCAGACUAGAUUUACUGCCCUGCAGUUGUCUCUGCUAACCAGUCAAGUCAGGCUUUCAUCCAUGUCUCUGCAGACUGUAUAUGUAGCCGUGGACAAUGUUUCAAAUAUGGAGAUGCAAAGAAGCUAUUUUAAAAUGUGGACGCUUCACACACAUCUUCAAUCUUUUAAAACUGGCUCUUGGGAAACACUUUGUGUUUAAUCUGUCAAUAUGAAAUAAAAUAAUUAGGAUUACUAUUAUGAUGACAUUAUAUAUCACUAUUUCUCACCGUAGUCAUACCUUAAAGCUCACUUUGCUUUCUUUGAUGUAACCAUCGUUGUGUUUUGCUAAUGGUGUGAAAAUGUAUCAGAUUCUUAAUAUGUGAUGGGUCUGUAAAGAGAAACCUACCAAAGGUUAUUAGAGCCUUUCAACUCUAUUCCUAUUGACAUGGGUUGAUAACAGAUUAUGCCUGUCUGUUUGAAAUAAAACUCUUUUUCUCUCGUC